GCAAACUUGGUCAUUUAGAGGAAGUAAAAGUCGUAACAAGGUCUCCGUUGGUGAACCAGCGGAGGGAUCAUUACAGAGUCCCUAAACGGCUCAAAACCCACUGUGAACAUACCUUUUGUUGUUGCUUUGGCAGGCGGUCCAGGGGGACCACGGCCUGCCAGGCUGCCGCAUGGCAGUCUGGAGGGUCCCGGGUGUCACGCCCGGCUGCCAAAGGACGCCUCAAAUACACGCUGUAAAAACGUUUGUGUCUGAGUCUGAUGGGAAGCUAUUAAAACUUUCAACAACGGAUCUCUUGGUUCUGGCAUCGAUGAAGAACGCAGC
rnacentral:misc_RNA from 1 species